rnacentral:rRNA from 1 species
GAGAUGUGGGUAGUCCGCACGAGCGCAACCCUCACUUUUAGUUGCCAUCAUUAAGUUGGGCACUCUGAAAGAACUGCCAGUGAUAAGCUGGAGGAAGGUGGGGACGACGUCAAGUCCUCAUGGCCCUUACGUGUUGGGCUACACACGUGCUACAAUGGCAUCUACAACAGGAAGCAAAACGGCAACGUUAAGCAAAUCCCGAAAAGAUGCCUCAGUUCGGAUUGCACUCUGCAACUCGAGUGCAUGAAGCUGGAAUUACUAGUAAUCGUGGAUCAGCGUGCCACGGUGAAUGCGUUCCCGGGUCUUGUACACACCGCCCGUCACACCAUGGGAGUUGGUUCUACCUUAAGGCAAGGUUUUAAACCCUUGACCACGGUAUAGUCAGCGACUGGGGUGAAGUCGUAACAAGGUAGCCGUAGGGGAACCUGCGGCUGGAUUACCUCCUUUCU